rnacentral:lncRNA from 1 species
AUUUAUCUGUGGCAUAUUUUGUGUGUGGACUCAAAACUACAACUGUCUGUUUUUGUCUGUUUAAUUUUCAGAGCAGGAAGUGGAUGAGGAGAGUUUCCUUUUGCUGGAUGAUGCUGCCAUGCAGCAUCUUAUUCCAAAAAUUGGUCAACGUCUCAAAUUUCAAAAACAUCACAAGGAGCUUCUCCAAGCUGCCUGUUCGACAAAGGAUCAAUGUUUAUCAGAAAAGAAUGUUGAAACGGUGGCAUCGACAACUCUGCUUACUGUGGUGCUUCAUCCAGAAUUUGCGAUUCGCCAAAUGUUGGGAGGUAGCCUUGAAGGGAGAUCUAUAUUAAGCACUUUGGAUGAGAAGCAAUCAAUUACAUCCAAAGAGAGGAAGCUUCUUGUGAGACUUCUGGUAUCCCACCUUAUUGAAAAACAUGGCGAAAUGUAA